rnacentral:piRNA from 1 species
UGCAAAUCCUUAUCAGUCUAGAGUCCACGA